rnacentral:lncRNA from 1 species
UAUAUAUGUAGGACUCGGAACCGCGAUGGUACUCCGAACUGCGAUGGUCACGCUGAAGUGCGAUGGUAUACGCUGAAGUGCGAUGGUGACAUUAUGACGUUAACUUGUUGAUAUCUACGCUGAAGUGCGGUGGUGGUUACGCUGUAGUGCGAUGGUCUUCCUGUCACAUUGAGUAAAAAAUAAAAGUUUAAUUACGAACAUGUAAAAUGAAAUCAAAUUAAUUAGAUUUUACAAAAAUAGCUGCUACAAUGUAGCCUCGCGUUUGGAAGAUCUUUUAAUUUCUGUUCAAGUCAAACGAAAGAUUUUAAUUUUGAUUUUU